ensembl:snRNA U6 U6 spliceosomal RNA
GUGCUUGCUUCAGCCGCACAUACACUAAAAUUGGAACGAUACAGAGAAGAUUAGCAUGGCCCCUGUGCAAGGAUGACACACACGUUCCUGAAGCAUCCCAUAUUCCU